ACCUUCAGAAAAUAGCCACCAUGAAGCCCGUGGCCCUGGUCCCCCUCUCGAGGUAUCGUAAAGCCAUUCAUAAGGGCAUAAACGCCUGACAACACUCCCUGAUACCAGCCCGGGAUACCCACUUGAGGAUACAGACACAUGAAAAUACACGAGACCACGCUCUAUUUUAACGAAUUGCUGAAGAGUAUUGAAUACUCAAACCCACCGCACAGCACCGGUGCAGCUAAGAGCACAAUUGAAUGAAACCACCAGAUUCAUUUAUUUUAACCUCCACUGGAGCUGUCCCAAAAAAGCAGGGUGGGCAAUGCCAUUUCUGCAGCCGUCCAGUGCUCUGGCAAAUGUUAAGGCUGUCACUGCAGACAGAAUCCCCAUGGUCUGUCUGUGUGCCUCGAUAGAGUCCGAAGAAAAACAUUCCUCGCAUUCCUGACGGUUGGUCCUAUCUCCGGGCCUUGGACUCGGCCCUGCAGGCUCGUGUCACCCCGUCAAACGGCCUAGGCCACGGCUAAUCUAAACCCCUGCCCUCCCCAGCCAGCCCUGCGGCAGGGUGAAAACUGGGACCAAUUUGCUGCCUAAACCCUGAGGAUACAGCAAGUUGAUUCUCAACCUUUAAGGACACCAGCUGCAAUUUGUUCAGCCGAAAAGAGCUUAGCGGUUCUGGCACCUUCUGACAAGAUACAUUUUAUAGGGUUUGUGCUAAAAUUUGAUAUUGGAAGUUGGGAUUCCAGUUGUAUGCCUCCAGUGAUAACAAUAGCAGCUGGGACCUUUAAGAAAUGUGUGUAUGCCUUCUAUUGAAGAGUUACAUAAUAAAAGCUGUUUAUGUCAAACACCUUAUAAGGGAAAGAUUUAGCCUAAAUGUCAAUAUAAUAUACAAUACUUUUUCAUAUUUAGAUAGGACGAAAAAAUCUACUAUCAGUGCUGCAUAUAAUCUUUGGUUUGGAGUAUUAGAUCUGUGGGGGCUUUCAACAUUUUAAGUAAGCAUCUCCUUGCCUUAAUUUACGAAUUCAUCGAGGGGCCUUUUUUUCAAUAUUGUUUCUGUAUAAAAAACAAAUACCGAUACCUCAUUAUUUGGUUUUCCAAGUCCUUCUAAUGAACGCACACAAAAGAAGGGCACAGUUUCAUGUCGUUUGAUUUGACAUUUGUAAUUCCCAAGCAUGCCAUAAAGCCAUUCAGCGGUCCCUUAUAAACCGAGGCUGCUUCUGUCUCCUGAAAAUGGCUGUGGUUUUGGAGAGGAACUGGCUGACCAGAACCUUGAUAAUUCUGAUGAAGGAAGAAAUCAGCCGCCCAAGGAAGAAAACCUUUCCCAGCAAAGAAGCAGCAGCGCCCAGUUCAAGGCAACAUCUGCAGCUCGAUUUCGGAGGGGCUUAAAUCCCCUCCAGCUUCCCUGGUGGCACCACAGCAAGCUUUCUGAGGAGGAAUCCCACCACCAAACAGACAAUGACUCUUGUUUACACCACAUGCUUAGGAGUGAACACGCGUGGGCCUGUGAGGCGGGCUUGGCUGGAAAAUCCCAGCUUCCCUCUUAGCUUUUCUGCUCAGACGGCAGAACCUAACUGAGAUGGGAAGAGAACCCUAAUUAGCAAAGCCAGGGGUUCCCCUGCACCCGUGCAUGUGCUGGUUCCGUCCCCUUGCUUCAGUUUUCUUUGAUGAAUUGGACGGUGUGACCACGGGUUAAUGAGAAAGCCCAGUGGACGGCGGCACGCACGGUCAUCUGGAUGUUCUCUGCUCCUGCCCCAGCCCCUGAGCUUCCCACUGUGGACCACAGGCCCCGUUGGGGAACACAGAGGUCACGGGGGCCAAAUGCAAGCACCGCUUCUCCUUGGGACCUGUUGGAACCAGGCGACACCAACUUAAACUUGGCAAAACGCAAGUUCAGUUUCUUUUGUUCUGAAGUCACAACUUGGAUGUAACAACUCCUAAGCCAAUACGAUCUGAAAAAGAACUCACUACUGAGCUGCCCCCUUCCCACGGUCCGAAAAUUGCUUCAGCCUAAACGGAAGGCAAUUUCCUUUUCUUUUAUAACAAGAGAAUCGCUAAGCUUCACUUAGUAUUUUCCCCCAGUUUCACCACUAAAUACCAGUACUUACAAAAACAUCCCUCGUUGUGUCAACUGCCAGGCUGUCUAAUAUGUUGAAUUUUAAAUAUGUUGGCUACAUGAUUAUUGUCAGAAAGAAUCAUGCUCCAGAUAAGGACCAGGAAGUGCAUCUAAAGACAGCAGGAAUAUUUAGAAUAAAAAUGCGCUGGCCCAGAGGUUUCUGCGGAGACUUAGAUUUGAAACAAUGGCUUUCUGUGUUCUGUGUCCCGUCCACUCAGUGACAUUGAUGCCGACUGUCAUUAUCUACAUUUCACAUCAGAGGAGAUGGAAGGAAAGGAAGAUUCAAUUUCACAAGGGGAGAACGUAACAGAUGAGGCUCGACAGUAAAUAAUAAUAAUUGUAUUAAUAACCACCUUUAUGGAGUUAUUGCCAGAUGCCAGGAGUUUUCUACUCCUGUUAUAUCAUCAUACGUGGAAAGACUCAUUUGACCCCCACAACAACCCAGGAGGAGGGACUAUUAUUAGCUUCAUUUUGUAGAUGAGGAAACUGAGGCAGACAGAGGCCAGCCCAUCGCUGAAGACCAGGCUGCUGGAGAGUGACAAAGUGUCAGAGUCAGGAGCCCAAGCCAGGCUGUCCACUGGCAGAGCUGGAAAAACAGGAGAUAAACAUCAGCACUGAGAUCCCAGGUCACACUGCCGGGGGUCACAGCCCAGACUGCCACCUGGGUGAAGGAACCAUUCUGAGCCUUAGUUUGCUCUUCUAUAAAUUGGGGAGAGCAAUGGUCCCUACCUCAUGGAUUUUUUGUUGGGAUUGCAUAAAAUAGGGCCUGAAAAGUGCAUGUCCCAUUGGACGUGCCCAGCAAACACAAGGUGCUGUGCAUGUGGUCUGGGCUGGCCGCCCACCUGCGAAAAGCUCAUUCAUCUCACUGACCAGGUCAUGACUGCAAGGUUUGCUCCAGGAAUCCGUCUGAGAACUCUGUCCAUGUUCUCAAAUGCCUGGAUGGCAAGGUGGCUGAGGGCAGUAUCGUGCGGUCCCCAGCAGCCAGGACUCAGCCCAGCUGACCUGUCCCCAGCCAGCAGAAGAUGAUCCGCAGAUGCCCCCAGGAAGGGGAUGCAUUGCCAGGUCCACCAGCCCUCCCAGGGAGGCCAUGUGCAGAGCCCCACAGACAGCUCCAGGCCUCGCUGCCGAGUCUGUGUCCUAUAUACAAUGUCAUCUGAGGGUGGCACCGAACACCCAGCUGGCUUGCUGGCCACCCACCAGCCUUUCAGCCACCCCGGCUGCCCUCUGGUUUCUAUUGCAUCUCUUAAAAGGCAGACCCCUCUGGAUGCUUUCCUCCACUCUUUUCAAAGUGCCCCCGCCCUCACCUUUCAAACAUCAAGUUGAUGGUUGUACCAUGAGCCGCAGGAACAAUCAACAGCCCUGAAGCCACUCAACUCAAGGCCUCAAGGCCCUCCCAACAGCCAGCCACCUGCCCUGCCAUGGAGGCUGGGCAGCACAGCUGGGGGCUUGAGAGCUGGUUCAAAUCCUGUGUCUGCCCCUGCGAGCUGUGUUUGCUCAGGCAAGUAGCUUGCCCUCUCUGGAUCUAGUUUCCCUGUCCGCAAAAGCACGGGCAGACACCGGCAAAGUGCUGGCUUGCAAUUCUCAAUAAAUUACGGAUUAGCAGAUCGCUAUUUAACUCAAGCAACAAAAGGAAAAUACUUGAUUGUGUGGAGAGCAAUAACUCUUAAAAAUGGGGUGACUGCCCCAUAAUAAGAAAAGCUAGAAAAAAAUAAAUCACAGACGCAGUGAUUUGGCGUGGUGAUACACGGAGGAAACUCUGCCAUCAGGAAACAGUAUUGUCCAUACGUUUUCUUCCUACCUUCUUCCUUUAAUUACUAAAUAAAAUCUUCAAUCACUGAAAAAUCACUGUAAUAUAAACAAACAUGCCGUUCCCAGUGACAUUAGGGUAUUCUUAUAUUUAAAGCAUCUAUACAUUCAUAAUUAAAAUAUGAACGUUUUGCAAAUAUGAAAAACUUG